UCACCGAUAGAGGAUGCGCCACUAACCAAAUGAAGUUGGGUUCCGUAAACGAAGUUUGAAAAAAAAACAAAAAUCGGAAACUGCCGGGCUCGCUGGCCGGGCUAUUACAAUGCAACCAUUGGUGAAUGACACGAAGCGUUUGACAAGUACUUCCAUGUUCAAGUUGACAGAAAAAUGUUCGGCAAUACUUUGAGGGCUCCGGAGCUGUUGAAAAAUAAGGGCAUAACAUUCGAGGCAUGGAAGAAGUGGGACAAAACUGCAGAGACGUUACCGCACAAGGGCCAAAAGCAGUAUGAACCGAAUAACUCUUGGCUACAGAAUAAACAGAUAGAAAAGGGACUUAAGGAUCGCAAGGACUUACUUGGAAUAGAGAGGGUAGAACGUAGUUCUCAGCUUGCCACAGCCGAGUGGUUACCACUAGAAUCAAGGGCUCGUGUCACCAAAAAGUCUGGUCAGGAGUGGACUAAUUUUGGUCUUGAAGAGAAUCUUGAACUGUAUCUGAUCCCAGAGGAGGCAUUGCUUCUCCUUGAGCUGAAUCGUCUGGAACUAACAUGGGAGGGUGUUGCGCUCUCUGUCCAGCAAGCAUAUGUAGUUCUUUUGGAAUCUAAUCCAUCAAAGUGUAACAUAGAUGAGUAUAGAGUAUACAGUCACUUGGUACGUCAAGGUUACCGGUUACAAAGAUUUCGUUACGAAGAUGAUUCAGUCCUAUCUGAUAUGAAUAAUCCUUCUCGGCGAUGGGCGAAAUUAAAAAGGAAAAAACAGAUUCAUGACCCUCGGGGCGGUUUUGGAAUGACAAGAGCUCGCAUGAGUGUAGCUGAUUCUGAUGAAUCAAUCAAAAAUGAUUCAACCGAGACUAUACAGGAUUGUAACCCAGUCGAGAGAGGUCAGGAUAUGGUGGAUAAUACAAACGACAAGCACAAUAUCUGCAGUCUUAGAACGGAAAAAUCAGAUGAAUAUCCGACUUCAAGCCAACCUGGCAAUGAUAUAAAAAGCAGGUCGGAAAUAAACAUGUCUAACAGUUCAGAAACUUGCACUCGUGAGAAUAGUGAAGGUACCAAUAAAGUUGAGAAAAUAAUAGCACCGCUCGGGACUAAUGUGGAAACUGCAUUUCUGCCAGAAACUGAAAAAUAUACUUUGGAUGGUGCCAAGACAAGUACGAAAAAGUUACCAAGUGAGUUAUAUGACAAAGGAGUUGAAAAUCUACCGGGUCCUAGCAAUGUGGAGGCUAAUAAAAGAGCCGAUAACCAGGGACAUCACACCAAGUUGAAAAUCAUUUCUGAUGAGACUAUUUUAGGUGAUAUCAAAAUAUUAUCGAAAUGGCCAGGUUCACGAAUACAAAGAAAUGUAAAAUGGAUGCCAAAACGAAAUACUAGUGGAGCUCUGCUCCCAGUGACCGAAAGAAAAUCCAGUGGCUGCACUAUUAACGAUAUCAACAUGGAUGGUGUAUCACCGCUGGAAAGUCUACAUUCAAGGCUUGGUGGAGUACCAAAAUCUUCUCGAUCAGACAAGGACCUUGAAAACGUGGAAAGACCAAAGAAAGUCAUGCAUGAGGUGAUUGAAGUUUCUGAUGAUGAGAUCGAAGAGGUACCACAGAAGAUGUCAAGAAUGGAAAUGCUAAAUCUCUUUCCAAAUGUCAUGUGUGAAGCAUCAUUACUUAAACCGAUCCCUAGAAAGUAUUUACCCUGUAAUGUCAGACCUCAACUAUCAGCAGUUCGAAGGCGAUCAAAGUACUAUGUCCGUUCAAAAAGCAAGAAUGACGACUCACAUGAAGAUAACUAUAAUACAUUACCAGAGGUCCGAUCGCGAUUGGCAAAUGAUAUGCCCGGAUCAAUUUCUUGUAGUAAUACAAUUUCUCGCAAUGAAUCUGCUCAGGUUAAUUUCAAUGGAAUUUCAGUAAAUUGCAGAAAUGAAGUUUCAUGGCAAGGUUUGUCCUUCUCCAAAGAAUUAUAUGAAAGUCGAAUGAUGUACCAACGAUGUUACAAUCAAGGAGCACACUCGCGAAGUUUGCCUAAUUACGCAGUGUUCAGAGAACCGGAACACGUCUCUGUACAUUUGCGUACUUAUACAGACAUUGCUAUAGCGCAAUAUAUUUCGGGAAGGUCACCAUUUCUUAGACGCGGCUUUUCUCAUCGUCAAAAUAUUUGGUCCAAUAUGAGUUAUUCUCAUGCCGGACAAAAUUUUUUAAAUCUCACACCUCGAAUCCUUUGUGACAGAGUGUCUGCUUACAAUGGCUUUAGCCACUUUGGGAAUUCAGUACCUCAAAGACCAACUUAUAGUCAUAAAAGAGGGUGCGAUGUAUUUAGGUAUUCGAGCCGGAAACAUUAUCCAAACCGGGCAGCAGAAAUGGGUAGGCCAUCUUUUAAAAUUGUUCCCGGCGCUUUAUCAUGGGCCGAAACUAAAGCAAAAUGGUUAGAAGAAAAGACGAUAACAAUUGAUGAUGAAGAGUGUGUAAAUAAUAAGGAUUCAUCAAGCGACGAAAGCGAAGUAAAAGUGGUGGCACAGCUGGUGAAGCCAUUAGUAGGUCCGCAGAAUACGACCAGUCUGACGAGAGUUUACCAAAGUCUGCAAAUUAUAAAAAAUAUUACGAAUAGCAAUGCUGUACGUCCAAGAAAGCUAGAACACGUUAACUACAAGAUCUCUUAUAAUUUGUACUCAACUGGUCAGCACUACAAAAAAGCAAGUCCUGGUACACCUAUGUAUAGGGUAGUUGUGUUCAGACCUGAGUUGACUCCGUUCAUUGAAUUGGCAGAAAUAAUACGUCUUCAGCAAGAUGCCAAAGAGUCGCCCAUAGUUUUCGCUUGUGCGUCGCAAACGUCAGUCACGUUUGCUGAGCUGGAGACUAUAAAGAUACCUGAUAUUACGGAUACCUGAUUUCUCAAAGGCAUUCCCUUUCAUCAGCACGGGAUUUUGUUCGGUGCAUGUGCUAAUAAUUCGAUUAUGUUCUUCAAGUUUUACAUGGAUGUAUCUUGUAUCUGGAAUUAUGUCUGAUCGUAUAUAGUGUAAAUUUUCGACGAGAACUUCGACUUUCGUUCGUUUGUAAUGCGAAAUUCGUGGAAACCAGCAGUAAAAAAAAAAAACUUUCUAUAUUGGAGAAAAACACUUGACAACGUUAUCAACAAUUUUUUGAAUGAAUCACGACCAGCAAGAUGUAUCAGGGCAUAUGGGUAUAUGCGACGAAAAUUGACUUCUGAUUGCAAAGAGAAAUUUUUCUUGCUUCCGGAAGAAUGAAAAAAUUAAUACAGGAUACACUGUCAAUGAGAUCAAUUCAAUGGUGAACAAUACAUCGGAUGAGUUUCCAAGAGAGUUGGAUGUAGUUUUGUUUGCAAUAGACGUAUACCCAGGAACUCAGAAAUCGCCACUGACAUGGGAUCAACUAUUGUGAAAUAAAGAUCAAUGUAUGAGAAAUUAAACAUUUAUGUUUUGGAAUAUUUUGUGAAAAAAAAAGGAAAGGUACACAAAAUCUAGGUGGGUGUAAUAACUAAAUGACUACCUAACGACCUGCUUUCUAUUGAGCUUAUUUCUGUGCCAUAAUGAAUACAUGCAUGUGACUUCAUGCAUGCGUAAUCAUUUUAUUGAUAGAAAUGGUUACACGGAAGCAUUUUGUGUAUAAAAUGUAUAUUUAUGGUCUACCUUCAUACCUCACUAGCAUGUUGAUUUUAUAAAAUUUGAGAUUUGAAAAUUCAGUGGUCAGGUGACGAAUGUAAAACAGCAUGACGCGCGUGUGAGAUAUACAGUUUCUAGGCCGGAUCAUUUUUUCAUCCCAGAAUCGAUUUGCUGGACCGUUUUUAAACUAUUUGGGCUCCACGGGAUUCAUAUGGAAAAUUUUAUACAUCGUGGGACGGACACCUGAAAAAAUGUAAAGAAAUUCAUCUUAUUUUUGGGUAUAACUCUUCAUCCACUGCUCGCGGCGAUUCUAGAUUCCGCGUAAUUGAUUCCUCUUGCAAAGCUACGUCGAUAUAGUGCAUCAAAGAAUAAUUUCCAGCAAGUUUCGAAGUCGUCAAAUUAUUAACAAAAAAUACAGAGAGAUUAGCCUUACUUUGUUGUGCAUAUAUAAUUUUCGGUCUCAGAAUAGAUUUGUAUAGCCUUUUCUUGAAAAAUCAGACCCCCAGGAACGCAGAAAACGUAUCUAAAGUAGCGUGGUUCAUCAAGGAAUCAAUUCCGGCAUUAUUCAAUAUCGCCAAAAUUUUCUGUAAGAAUACGGAGGGGUUAGUAUUAGUAUUUAUGAAUAUCCACAACAAUACUAGUUAGCCGUAAUUAUUUGUCUAAAAGUGUUCAGUCGAAGAAUCAAUUUAUAUGACCCUUUCUAGUAUAAUUCGACCCUCAGGAGUGCGAAAAGGUGAUCUCCAACAGCAAACGACGAAUAAUACAGGAAAUAUAAAAGAAAUUCGGUAAAUAUUGAGUUUCUAUUCAUUUUAAUACUGGUCACAUGAAAUACGGACAGUAUAACAAUAUAAUACGUCAUAUAUUGCAUAGUGGCAAAGGUGUGUUGCACAUGUACGCAGACAAGAACUUGAGAUGUAUGUUGGAACUAUGAUAGAAACUAUCUGAUUAGUUAAUAUUCUGCUUCAGACGAUGUAUACUGCAUACCUAUUACCUCAUAUAAUAAUUGUUUUUCUUAUGUGAUGUUCUUUCAUAUUUUUGUAUUGUUCUUUGACUUCUAAUUUGAAUCUAUUUGUCAACUCGUGGAAUUACUGGACACUGACACCCAAACACUUGUACUAGAAUUAAGGCAUAUUCAAUAAACUGAUGUUUUGGGUAA
rnacentral:misc_RNA from 1 species